AGCACGUCACCGAAACGCGACAGGGCCUCUCCAGCUGGAAGUGCUCACGGCUGCCGGCACUGUGGCCGCAGGUGGAAAUGAGUAUUGGAAGAUGGAACCUGGAACCUUGUGCCUCUAAGCAAAUCCUCCACCAGUGAGCUGCCUCCCCAGCUCUAAUGUUUUUACUUUUAUAGAGCUGUUUGGAGAUUAAGUGAAGUCUGAACUGUCAAGAGCUUUGUACAGUCCUACACAGUCAACAGGCUACACUUGGCAACCAUCCCAACACACCAAAGAGAAGAGUAAUGGUGAAAAGCCAAGAAGAGAUUUAAUCAGUGUUUGUUGCAAAGAGGAACAGGUAACAAGGUCCAGAGAUCCUCGCUUCAUUUUUGGAGUACUGACAUGAGCUUUAGGUUUAGGAAGAGGAAGAAUUGGGGCAGGGGGCGUGAGGCAUACUUAAUUAAGCAGUCCUGGUCAAUGGUUGGAGACCUUUAGUGGAACUGGAACAGGAUGCUGUAAACAGCUGACAAGAAGGUGCCCCAAGUACUCUCAUCUUCAGGCUUUUGCCUUGAAGGGGAACAAGAUAUGCUAGUGUAUUAUUAGUUGUUUGUCUUGUUUCAACAAAACAUCCACCAGAAGCAACUUAAGGAAGGGUUUUUUCUGUCUUCCAGUUCUAGGAGAUAGUCUAUCAUGGCAGGGAAGAAGCUGAGGAAGGAAGGAGGCAGGAGGAAGUUGGUCACUUGCAUUCCUAGCCAGGAAGUGGAGAUGAGUGCUAGUGCUGGAUGGCUUUCUCCUUUUCAUUCAGUGCACAGUUAGGGUGGUUUUCCCCACCUCAAUGAACCUAACAGAUGCUCCCUCACAGAGAUUUGUCUCCAUGGAGACUCUACACCUCUUCAACUUGACAAGAUUAACCAUAACAGAGAUCUCUAGUCUCUAGAUAGACACUCUGAGUGAUUUGCAUGCAUGCACACAGAGGUCUGUAGCUCAAACAAAGAGGGACAGAUGCAGAAUGAAGAUGGAGAUGCCAGGCUUUCACCCUGCCUUUGGUUACCUUAUGGGCUCUGGCAGGGGCCAAUGCUUUCUAGUCAAAGCUCUAAGUGCCUGUUAUUUGAGGAGUUCCUGAUGCUUGAUGUCUCCUCAGAGCUUUCUUCAGGCGUUCUCUCCUCCAGGUGACAUUAACAUAGUCUCUCUUUUGUUUCCUUUGUGUUUUCUGUUCAUCUCAUGGUCAUGGAUGCCUUUGGAUUCACACUGACCACUGAGCCUGGGAACCUGACCCUCAGCCACUUUGGAGAGUAUGUGGCACAGGCUUAGUAAGAUAGUGACAAAGGGGCUGGAGGAAGGUGAAGCCACGCCAUCCAAAGACUGUAUUCUAAAGAAAUGAGUCCUGAUGUUUCCUUCACCAAGACCCCCGAGAUGCCCAGUUCUCACUAUAUAGACCAGACUGGCCUGGAACUCACAGAAAUCAUCUGCCUCUGUCUGAUCCUGAGUGCUAAGAUUAAAGGUGUGCCCUACCAUUGCCUAGCUAUAUAUGCAAUUUUAAAAGGGGGUAUGUUAUUAAGUCUAAAAGAUAAAUAACUACUGUGUUACAUUUUUAGGACGAUUUUUUAAUUUGCAAUUGUGACAUCAAACUAUGAGAACUACUGCCUGUCUAUGCUCUCUUCAAAAACAACAUCAAUAAAAAACAAACAAAAAUCA